rnacentral:miRNA from 1 species
CAGCUGUUUCAGAAGAGUUUCA